rnacentral:rRNA from 1 species
CAAUAGCGUAUAUUUAAGUUGUUGCAGUUAAAAAGCUCGUAGUUGGAUUUCGGAUGGGACUUGCCGGUCCGUCGUUUCGAUGUGCACUGGCCAGUCCUAUCUUGUUGUCGGGGACUAGCUCCUGGGCUUCACUGUCCGGGACUAGGAGCUGACGAGGUUACUUUGAGUAAAUUAGAGUGUUCAAAGCAAGCCUACGCUCUGAAUACAUUAGCAUGGAAUAACACGAUAGGACUCUGGCUUAUCUUGUUGGUCUGUGAGACCAGAGUAAUGAUUAAGAGGGACAGUCGGGGGCAUUCGUAUUUCAUUGUCAGAGGUGAAAUUCUUGGAUUUAUGAAAGACGCACUUCUGCGAAAGCAUUUGCCAAGGAUGUUUUCAUUAA